CCCGUGGCAUCAAGUGUGGCUGCCUCAAGGCGACCAGGCCCCAGUGUGUGUGUCCCUGUGUUACUGAGUGUGUGUACGUAUUAGCUGCUGAGCCCCGUCGAACUUUUGAUCCCCGUAUAUAAGUUUUCGAACUCGCUUCGAGUAUAAUCUUUUCUUCGCGAACUUUUCGUCUACGAACUAACAAGCCGAUUGCAGCAACGGUCGUUGCGCGUUUUUAAGUGUUGUUGACCGGAGGAGUCGAGAGUGGCAGCGCCUCCCUGUCAGGCUCCCUAGGGCGAGGGGGUCGACCUGACACCGCUGCCCUAGACAGGUGAUGCUCUCGCUCUGCUUCGGUCUUCAGGCAGUAGCACGUUGGGCCGCUCUCAGAUUCGCUCAGCGCCCUUACUAUGGUACAGUGGAAUGUAACUGUUGCAGAGAGUCUUCAAUCGAAAAAGGU